UGGGGAAUUUUGGACAAUGGACGCAAGUCUGAUCCAGCCAUGCCGCGUGCGGGAAGAAGGCCUUCGGGUUGUAAACCGCUUUUGUCAGGGAAGAAACGAGUUUCUCUAAUACAGAGACUUAAUGACGGUACCUGAAGAAUAAGCACCGGCUAACUACGUGCCAGCAGCCGCGGUAAUACGUAGGGUGCGAGCGUUAAUCGGAAUUACUGGGCGUAAAGCGUGCGCAGGCGGUGAUGUAAGACAGAUGUGAAAUCCCCGGGCUCAACCUGGGACCUGCAUUUGUGACUGUAUAGCUAGAGUACGGUAGAGGGGGAUGGAAUUCCGCGUGUAGCAGUGAAAUGCGUAGAUAUGCGGAGGAACACCGAUGGCGAAGGCAAUCCCCUGGACCUGUAUUGACGCUCAUGCACGAAAGCGUGGGGAGCAUACA
rnacentral:rRNA from 1 species